rfam:Ostreococcus tauri chloroplast, complete genome.
CUUGGUGUCUUCGUCACAAUCGAAACACAGCAUCCCAUCAGAACUGCGUGGUGAAAGGUUUUUGAGACUAAGAUAGCUAUCGGGCCACUGAUAGUGAAAACGUGUCGAUGCCAAGA